rnacentral:rRNA from 1 species
GACGUAGGGGGCAAGCGUUGUCCGGAAUCACUGGGCGUAAAGCGCACGUAGGCGGACUCUUAAGUCGGGGGUGAAAUCCUGGAGCUCAACUCCAGAACUGCCUUCGAUACUGGGAGUCUUGAGUUCGGGAGAGGUGAGUGGAAUUGCGAGUGUAGAGGUGAAAUUCGUAGAUAUUCGCAAGAACACCAGUGGCGAAGGCGGCUCACUGGCCCGAUACUGACGCUGAGGUGCGAAAGCGUGGGGAGCAAACAGG